UACUGAGGGAGCUAGCGUUGUUCGGAAUUACUGGGCGUAAAGCGCACGUAGGCGGCUAUUCAAGUCAGAGGUGAAAGCCCGGGGCUCAACCCCGGAACUGCCUUUGAAACUAGAUAGCUAGAAUCUUGGAGAGGUCAGUGGAAUUCCGAGUGUAGAGGUGAAAUUCGUAGAUAUUCGGAAGAACACCAGUGGCGAAGGCGACUGACUGGACAAGUAUUGACGCUGAGGUGCGAAAGCGUGGGGAGCAAACAGG
rnacentral:rRNA from 1 species